UCCCUGGAGGACUAGUGGUUAGGCCACGGCGCUCUCACUGCAGUGGCCCGGGUUCAUUACCCCGCCGAGAAA